CCUUUGGCUGCCGUGAGCGCUUCGGCGUGAGCGACAGUCAUUCUAUAGUGACGCCUCCGUGUCCGGGAAACCGGCGCGGGGCUGACCUAACCCUUCUCUACGAGUACCUAUUAUUCUCCUUCGGCGGGGUAACCCGCCGCUGGAACUUAAGAACCAACUUGCAUUUAGCAUUACCUGUUCUGAUAACAAUUAAUUAUUA
rnacentral:misc_RNA from 1 species